AUUGAACGCUGGCGGCAGGCCUAACACAUGCAAGUCGAGCGGAUGAAGGGAGCUUGCUCCUGGAUUCAGCGGCGGACGGGUGAGUAAUGCCUAGGAAUCUGCCUGGUAGUGGGGGAUAACGUCCGGAAACGGGCGCUAAUACCGCAUACGUCCUGAGGGAGAAAGUGGGGGAUCUUCGGACCUCACGCUAUCAGAUGAGCCUAGGUCGGAUUAGCUAGUUGGUGGGGUAAAGGCCUACCAAGGCGACGAUCCGUAACUGGUCUGAGAGGAUGAUCAGUCACACUGGAACUGAGACACGGUCCAGACUCCUACGGGAGGCAGCAGUGGGGAAUAUUGGACAAUGGGCGAAAGCCUGAUCCAGCCACGCCGCGUGUGUGAAGAAGGUCUUCGGAUUGUAAAGCACUUUAAGUUGGGAGGAGGGGCAGUAAGUUAAUACCUUGCUGUUUUGACGUUACCAACAGAAUAAGCACCGGCUAACUUCGUG
rnacentral:rRNA from 1 species